CGGAAGCAACCCGGGCCACGGCACAGGGGCGCGGCGGCUGGACCGCGGGGCCGGCAAGACCAUGCCGGUCACCGGGAAGAGUUUCCGCCGGCGCCGGGCCGAUUCGGAGUCGGAGGAAGAUGAGCAGGACUCAGAGGAGGUUCGAUUAAAACUGGAGGAGACCCGCGAGGUGCAGAACUUGAGGAAGAGGCCCAAUGGGGUGAGUGCUGUGGCCCUGCUGGUAGGAGAGAAGGUACAAGAAGAGACCACCCUCGUGG